CAAAGCCAAGUUCUGUAGCGGGGCCACGUGACGGCUCUCCAUCUUCCUGCCUACAUCUCACUCAUAUGAAGUCCUUUCUCGCCCUCUAAACAGCUGGUCGAGGAUGAGUCACCACCACAGGAGAGCCAUAUCCUAGAGAAUGAAAGGGGGGUACAUUGCAGGCAGAAAAAAACCAUCUUGUAGAAGGGCACAGAGAUACAGCAGAGGAUGGAAUAUGUGGGAACAACUCCCUUGAAGCUCAGAUGCCAUACGACCCAGUUUGGGCCAAUGAGAUGCAAGUUGAACUCUACAGGAACCUAAGACUCCACACAUACAGGUGGAGCUGUCCUCUUGAGACCAGGAGGGCACAAGGCACACUGAGGAUCGCUGGGCGGAUGCCUGGAGGGAUCCUGAGUCCUCAGAACCUCCCUGAGCAGCUGCAGCAGCCCGGGACUUCCCUCGUCUGGAUGGUUGUUAGAUGUAAAAUAUAAUCCCCAGUUUGAUCAAUCCACUG